GACGAACCGUCCAACCGUUAUUCGGAAUCACUGGGCUUAAAGCGCGUGUAGGCGGAUGGGGACGUCGGUUGCUGAAAUCCCCCGGCUCAACCGGGGAGCUGGCACCGAAACGCCCCGUCUGGAGGGACGUAGGGGGACCUGGAACUUCCGGUGGAGCGGUGAAAUGCGUUGAGAUCGGAAGGAACGCCCGUGGCGAAAGCGAGGUCCUGGACGUUUUCUGACGCUGAGACGCGAAAGCUAGGGGAGCGAACGGG
rnacentral:rRNA from 1 species